UAGGGAAUAUUGGACAAUGGGUGUAAGCCUGAUCCAGCCAUGCCGCGUGCAGGAAGAAGGCCUUCUGGGUUGUAAACUGCUUUUGCCGGGGGAUAAAAGAUCCAUGCGUGGAGAAUUGAAGGUACCCGGUGAAUAAGCCACGGCUAACUACGUGCCAGCAGCCGCGGUAAUACGUAGGUGGCAAGCGUUGUCCGGAUUUAUUGGGUUUAAAGGGUGCGUAGGCGGUCCUGUAAGUCAGUGGUGAAAUACGGCAGCUCAACUGUCGAGGUGCCAUUGAUACUGCGGGACUUGAGUACAGACGAGGUAGGCGGAAUUGACGGUGUAGCGGUGAAAUGCUUAGAUAUCGUCAAGAACACCGAUAGCGAAGGCAGCUUACUAGACUGUAACUGACGCUGAGGCACGAAAGUGCGGGGAUCAAACAGGAUUAGAUACCCUGGUAGUCCGCACAGUAAACGAUGGUCACUCGGUGUUGGCGAUACACAGCCAGCGCCUUAGCGAAAGCGUUAAGUGACCCACCUGGGGAGUACGCCCGCAAGGGUG
rnacentral:rRNA from 1 species